AUUCCAAAAAGACCCUUUUCAUUUCAUCCCACCCACGCAUCCCUAGCCCUAACCUCUUCACCGAGCUCUCUUCGGAUCUGCCGCACGGUCCUGUCUCGCCGCGCCUCCACCUCUCGGCGUCCCUCUCGUGCCUCGUCCCUUGUAUUCUGCUCGUUCUCUCGUGCCUAGUGUGCUCCACUGCUCGUAUUCUGCUCGCCGCACCUCUGUCCCUCACUGCGUCGCGCCUACGUGCCUCCGUGCUUCCAUGCCUCCCUCGCCGCGCCGCGCCUCAGUCCCUCGCGGCUGGUUUCUCUACCUGAAGUGCUGCUCGUCGUCCAUGGUUCUGCCUCUACAACAGCUGCUGUGUAUGUAAGAGUUGCAAUAACACCAGUCAUCCAUUCACUUUCACAGGUGUAUAUGGUGAUGACCGAAGAACUCCCGAAGAGAUGAAUGGGCCUCACAAAGAUGAAUGGUUCAGAGGGUGGGAGGUUGCAGUACAAGAACUGAUUUUUAGAUUAACUGUAUUACAUUGAAACUAUGUUUUCUAUGAUUUUCGUUAUUAGAUUUCAAUUUUCAAUAACACAAAUUACAUAACUUUGUGAUUUUUUAUGGUGUACCAUGAUAUGAUAAAGACACAAACUACAUUCUAUGAAUCUACACAAAUAUAAAAUAUUACAUGAUCAUAAUGAAUACUUGAAUGAUGGAAACUAAA